rnacentral:tRNA from 1 species
UCCCUAGUAGCUCAGUUGGUAAAGAAUCUGCCUGCAGUGCAGGAGACCUGGGUUCAAUCCCUGGAUUGGGAA